rnacentral:rRNA from 1 species
CUCGUAGGUGGCCAACUAAGUCAUACGUGAAAUCCCUCAGCUUAACUGGGGAACUGCGUCUGAUACUGGAUGGCUUGAGUUUGGGAGAGGGAUGCGGAAUUCCAGGUGUAGCGGUGAAAUGCGUAGAUAUCUGGAGGAACACCGGUGGCGAAGGCGGCAUCCUGGACCAAUACUGACACUGAGGAGCGAAAGCCAGGGGAGCAAAACGG